rnacentral:tRNA from 1 species
CCACAAAUGGUAACCCCUUUAAAGA